rnacentral:lncRNA from 1 species
GUUGGGCCUCAGCCCACUAGACUAGAAGCCCAUUUACGGGUCCAAGGACAUGUGGUCCAAAACACACACAAGUAGGAGACAAGUAGUAUAAAUAUAGAACAUGUAUCCCCAAGAAAGGGGUUGGAAAUUAAGAGAAAAGAGCCUCAAUUGUAAUAUCUCAACAUUUGGCGCUAGAAGGAGGGGCUCUUUUCAUCCAACCACCAACAACACAUACACAGACAAUAUCCAAUAUGUAUCAUCACUAAAACACACGCACACUGACUUUUCAAAUGGAGAAUGGAAACAAAAAUCGGAGCAGCAAAGAACAACAAAGGCCAACAAAGAUGAAGUUUCGAGAUCUGAAAACACAGCGGCGCCAUAAACACAUGAGAUCUGGACUAUACGACAGCGAGAAUUCAUCCGCGGAGGUUGUUUGACGAUGAACACCAGGCAGAGUACGAAGAACAACAACCAACACGCUUAGAUUCGGUAGGCGGAGGCCGCCACGGAGCUCCAAAAUAGAUGAUAUUACAACCGAAAAAGGAGUAAAGGCAAGUAAGAGCUCGAUUUGUCCAGGUGUGAGUUAAAGCAUAAGAAAUCUUCGAUGAGGAGCCACAACCGAGUUUGAGCAGAGAAUUGAUCUCUUUAGAUCUGAUCGAAAAUGGAGGCGUGGAGCCAUUGAACCGAGAUAGCAUUGAAAUUUUCAGAAAAAUAUCUAGCACAGCCCUCAAGUGGUUCAACGAUCUGCUUCCAUGCUCUAUCGCCUCUCAUAUUUCAUCGUCUCAUCGGCUCACCAGCUCUUCAGCUCUUCGCUCUAACAGCUCUUGGAGCGUCCAAUUUUUGAAGUGCCCCUCUGUGAGGCGUCUCGCCUGUGAGGCGCCCCGCUUGUGAGGCAUUUCGCUUAUGUUGCGUCUCGCUUAUGAGGCGUCUCACGUUGGAAAUUAAGAGAAAAGAGCCUCAAUUGUAAUAUCUCAACAUUUCCAAUACCUACAAGAUCUUAAUACCACUAAUCUACGAUUGCAUUGCCGUAUCACCAUGAUUCUCAAUUACUAAAAACACACCAGUGAAAAGCAAAGUUCAAUUGAUGGAUGUGAAUUAGGCAAAAAUCGAACUGUUGUUGGCAGCAAAGAACAACAAAGGCCAACAAAGAUGAAGUUUCGAGAUCUGAAAACACAGCGGCGCCAUAAACACAUGAGAUCUGGACUAUACGACAGCGAGAAUUCAUCCGCGGAGGUUGUUUGACGAUGAACACCAGGCAGAGUACGAAGAACAACAACCAACACGCUUAGAUUCGGUAGGCGGAGGCCGCCACGGAGCUCCAAAAUAGAUGAUAUUACAACCGAAAAAGGAGUAAAGGCAAGUAAGAGCUCGAUUUGUCCAGGUGUGAGUUAAAGCAUAAGAAAUCUUCGAUGAGGAGCCACAACCGAGUUUGAGCAGAG